GAUGAAGAACGUAGCGAAAUGCGAUAAGUAAUGUGAAUUGCAGAAUUCAGUGAAUCAUCGAAUCUUUGAACGCACAUUGCGCCCGGCAGUACUCUGCCGGGCAUGCCUGUUCGAGCGUCAUUUCAACCCUCAAGCCCUGCUUGGUGUUGGGGCCUCACGGCUGCCGUGGGCCCUGAAAGGAAGUGGCGGGCUCGCUACAACUCCGAGCGUAGUAAUUCAUUAUCUCGCUUAGGGCGUUGGGCGGCGCUCCAGCCGUUAAAGAACCAUCUUUAACUCAAGGUUGACCUCGGAUCAGGUAGGAAUACCCGCUGAACUUAAGCAUAUCAAUAAGCGGAGGA
rnacentral:misc_RNA from 1 species